rnacentral:rRNA from 1 species
AUGGAUGUCAAACGCCUAAACUAUGGGGUUCUCGCGCUGAUUCCUAAAGUCCAGGGUGCGGAUAAUAUUAGACAAUACCGACCUUUAACCUUCAUCAAUGUGAACUUUUGCCUUCUGGCCAAAGGGUUCGUGAAAUGGCUCGCUCCGGUAGCUAACAAGGUGAUUGACACUAGCCAAUCGGCCUUCAUCUGUGGGAGAAGCAUAUUAGACGGGGUGGCGGUUCUACAUGAGGUUCUACAAAAGAUCAGACUAACCAAGGAAGAGGUGUUUAUCCUCAAGAUUGACUUCGAGAAAGCAUACGAUAGGGUCCGGUGGGAUUUUCUCGAGGAGGUUUUGAGCCAAAAGGGCUUUGACCCUCUUUGGACCAGCUGGAUGCGGCAACUGGUCUGGGGCGGCCAGACGGUUGUAAAUAUUAACGGCCACAUCAGGUCGUUCUUUAGGAACAAACAGGGAGUCUGCCAAGGUGACCCAAUCUCGCCUCUCCUAUUCAAUAUCAUUGUGGAUGCCCUGGCAAGGAACCUCGACCGUGCAAAGGCAGCCGGACAUAUCUCGGGAGUGGCGUCUGGUAUCAUCCCAGGAGGGAUUUCUCAUCUCCAAUACGCCGAUAAUACGUCAAUCUUUAUUAGAAACUCUGAGGGAAAUUAUUAA